CAUAAGGUGAUCAAUCAGUGUGGAUACAAAACAUGUUACUCAUAAUUUAUCGACUUUGAUUGUUACAUGAGGAGGCAAAGUUCUACAUGAGCUAACCAUAAAUAUUUCGUAUUGAGGAUUUUCAACUUCUGCAAACAUAUUAGCAGCACUUCAAGCUAGAUACGUACGCAUGAAAAAAACUACUAAAUAACUCAUAGAAAUGGCUGAAGAAGAAGAUAUUAUAACAGAUCAUGAGGAUGAUGAGGAGGAUAUCCAACGACAGCGCAUGCGCGAAUUUAAUGACAUGGUCCACAUAUUAUUUACAAAACCAGAAAGACUUAUACUUUACAAGAUUUUAAAAGAUUAUCAGAGGCGUCCGAGAUGUCGCGCGACUGGUUGUGGGAUUAGACUUAAUCCUUAGAACGUAUACAAAACUAGAAUUACUGAAGUAUGUGAGGUAUUUUGUAUGGCAAAGGCAUCUUGACGAAUUUGAUAGACUUACUCAGUUUCAAAUGAAAUUUCGCCGUCGGCGUCGUCAACACAGGAAAGCUCAUUUACUACAAAUACCAGAUCACAGAUCGAUAGCCAGUACGAGCACUAACGCGAGCGGAAGACGUAUUAAAGAUGUUAGGGUCUUCACAGUCCAAAGAGAAAAGGAGGAACCCAGUCUUGGGUUUUGUGUCCGUGGAGGUUCGGAACAUGGCCUCGGGAUCUACGUCAGUGAAAUAGAGGACGAUAGUGCAGCUGCAAAAUCUGGACUAGAGACCGGGGACAAAAUUCUUGAAGUAAACAACAUCAGUCUACGAGGUGUGGCCAGUAGCAGCGCGAUCAAGGUUCUUACUGGCUCUAAUCGGCUCAAACUUGUCAUUCAGCGGACUAAGAAAGUUCCAGAGUGGCGGUUGUCGAGAGAGAAAACGUCAUGGUAUGAUAUUCAUGACAAGAAGCUUAUAUCAGGAGAAUUUGAAGAAUGUGGUAUAAGUCACAGUAUUCGGGGCUUGGACGUGGAAGUUCCUGAAAGAAGAAUCAAUCUCAAGUUUGGGAAGGCCAAUCGAGGUCUUGGUUUCAACAUCAGAGGUGGUAGAGAGUAUGGCCUUGGUAUCUAUGUAUCAAAAGUUGACCGUGAAGGCUUGGCUGACAAAAACGGGGUUCGAAUAGGAGACCAAAUUAUUGAUGUGAAUGGAAUUCCUUUUGAAAACAUUACUCAUGCUCACGCUGUGGAAGUGCUGAAAGGAAAGAAACAUCUAAUUCUUACGUUACGGGAUGUGGGUCGUUUUCCUGUUUACAAAGAAUUGUAUGCUGAGUACACAUGGAGUGACGGACGUAUAAAACCAGGUUCAAGCACGAUGAGUCUACGAGAUAUACAUGUUGAGCACCAUGAGCUUCCAAAAAAGGCUGAAAGUGUUUCUGAUCUGUUCUCUAGCAGAAGAAGACCUAGUACACUACACACUGAGAUAUUUCUUCCCGGUGAAAGACAGCUUCACCCGGAAGGUACUAGUAGUGCUAACGACGAUAUUGUACAUAAUAUGAACACUGAAGAUGAUACCGAUAGUCUUAUCGAUCUUGACCAAUGGGCACAAGAUAUUCAAGACACUGGAAAUGAAAACCGUGCAUAUGUUCAUGACGAAGACGUUAAAGAUAACUCACUUCAGAACAAGUAUGUGAAAAGUCAUUUAGUUAAAAGAGGGACUGUUUUAACUAAGCAUGACAUUACCGUUAAAGAAGCUAAUAUAGAAGACAUAGAUGGAGAUUACGACAGUCCAGACAUGAUGUAUGCCAAGAUUAACAAACAUGCUGAAAGAUACGCAUCCACAAGCAAUUUAAGUGCAUCUAUUCAUAAAGAAGAUGAAACAAAAAAUACAGAAAGUAUGAUGCCAAGAACAUCGCAUGAGGAUUCAUCUUCCGAAAGAUCAUUCAGAGCUACAGAAAACAGACAAACAUCAUCUAAUGAAGAUCUUCAUUCUUUAGCACCUAGUGUGGAUGGAGCACUUUACUCUACAGUGAGGAGACUAAGUGGUGGUUCAUUUAAAAACCUGACUGGUUCAUCUUUAAGUAUCUUUGAUGCUAACCAAAGUACCAAGGACAGUGAAGUUAGUAAAAACUUUGACAAUCUUGAAUUCACAGUGCAUUCAGAGGAUAAAUUACACAAGAAACGUAAAAGUGUAACUUUACCAUAUGCUGAGAAACAAGAUACUGACAGUGACGAUGAGCAUGGUGCAGACUCGUACGACUUGAUCAAUCCAUAUUCAGUUCAAACAAGAAGCUUUAAAGGGCUGACACAUCUGACCACAUUGGUCAUACUUCAACGAGAAAUGAGGACGACGGGUUAGACAUGGGGGCAUUGGAAGAUAGGCUUCAAGAGCUUGAAGAAAGACAAACAAAUAUUGGCUUACAAGAAUUGAAUGCUUUAAACGGAAACGCGCAAGACACGACAUAUUACGAUGGCAGUGUCAGAAAAAAAGGAAAAUGGAAAACUUUAAAGAAUAAAAUUAAAGGCAGUCUUCGAUUAAGAUCACCAAGACAUACAA
rnacentral:misc_RNA from 1 species